UGCUACCAUGCAGUCGAACGGACCACUUCGGUGGUUAGUGGCGCACGGGUGAGUACACGUGGUUGACCUACCCCAAAGUAAGUGAUAACGGUCCGAAAGGACUGCUAAUACCUUAUAAGCUCCCGGUGUUUAGAAAACUGGGAGAAAAGUUCCGGCGCUUUGGGCGGGGACUGCGGACCAUCAGCUAGUUGGUGUGGUAACGGCACACCAAGGCGACGACGGAUAGGGGACCUGAGAGGGUGGCCCCCCACACUGGAACUGAGACACGGUCCAGACUCCUACGGGAGGCAGCAGUGAGGAAUAUUGCACAAUGGGCGCAAGCCUGAUGCAGCGACGCCGCGUGGGUGAUGAAGGUUUUCGGAUCGUAAAGCCCUUUUCUAGAUGACGAGUAAGGACGGUAGUCUAGGAAUAAGUGUCGGCUAACUACGUGCCAGCAGCCGCGGUAAACGUAGGACACAAGCGUUAUCCGGAGUUACUGGGCGUAAAGGGCGUGUAGGCGGACCUGUAAGUCUAUUCUGAAGCUCCUGGCUAACUGGGAGAGGCGAAUGGAGACUGCAUAUCUAGAGUGAGGAAGAGGAAAGUGGAAUUCCGCGUGUAGUGGUGAAAUGCGUAGAGAUGCGGAGGAACACCAGUGGCGAAAGCGACUUUCUGGUCCUUAACUGACGCUGAGGCGAGAAAGCAUGGGGAGCGAACGGGAUUAGAAACCCCGGUAGUCCAUGCCAUAAACGAUGUUCACUAAACGUUCGUUUCCCGCGAGGGAAGCGGGUGUUGAAGCCAACGCAGUAAGUGAACCGCCUGGGGAGUACGGUCGCAAGGCUAAAACUAAAAGGAAUUGACGGGGGACCGCACAAGCAGCGGAGCGUGUGGUUUAAUUCGAGGCUACACGAAGAACCUUACCUGGGUUUGACAUCGUGUUGAAGUGCCCAUGAAAGUGGGUAUGCCUCGCAAGAGGCAAUACGACAGGUGCUGCAUGGCUGUCGUCAGCUCGUGCCGUGAGGUGUUCGGUUAAGUCCGCAACGAGCGCAACCCUCGGUGCCAGUUACAAGUGUCUGGCGCGACUGCCCGUGGCAAGCGGGAGGAAGGUGGGGAUGACGUCAAGUCAGCAUGGCCUUUAUUCCUGGGCUACCCACGCGCUACAUGG
rnacentral:rRNA from 1 species